AGCGAACGCUGGCGGCAGGCCUAACACAUGCAAGUCGAACGAAGUCUUCGGACUUAGUGGCGGACGGGUGAGUAACACGUGGGAACGUACCUUUUGGUUCGGAACAACUCAGGGAAACUUGAGCUAAUCCUGGAUGAGCCCUUAGUGGGAAAGAUUUAUCGCCGAAAGAGCGGCCCGCGUUAGAUUAGCUAGUUGGUGAGGUAAAGGCUCACCAAGGCUACGAUCUAUAGCUGGUCUAAGAGGUUGAACAGCCACACUGGGACUGAGACACGACCCAGACUCCUACGAGAGGCAGCAGUGGGGAAUCUUGCGCAAUGGGCGAAAGCCUGACGCAGCCAUGCCGCGUGAAUGAUGAAGGUCUUAGGAUUGUAAAAUUCUUUUACCAGGGACGAUAAUGACGGUACCUGGAGAAAAAGCCCCGGCUAACUUCGUGCCAGCAGCCGCCGUAAAAC
rnacentral:rRNA from 1 species